CAAACGGCCCUUUUCAGGGCCACCAAAUUGAUCAAAGAGAGUUAUU
rfam:Aedes aegypti strain Liverpool supercont1.432 genomic scaffold, whole genome shotgun sequence.